UAACUUCGGGAAACCGAGGCUAAUACCGCAUAAUACCCACGGGUCAAAGGAGCAAUUCGCUUGAGGAGGAGGUCGCGGCCGAUUAGUUAGUUGGCGGGGUAAUGGCCCCACCAAGACGGUGAUCGGUAUCCGGCCUGAGAGGGCGCACGGACACACUGGAACUGAAACACGGUCCAGACUCCUACGGGAGGCAGCAGUGGGGAAUUUUGCGCAAUGGGGGAAACCCUGACGCAGCAACGCCGCGUGGAGGAUGAAGUCUCUUGGGACGUAAACUCCUUUCGAUCGGGACGAUUAUGACGGUACCGGAAGAAGAAGCCCCGGCUAACUUCGUG
rnacentral:rRNA from 1 species